rnacentral:rRNA from 1 species
UACGUAGGCAGCAAGCGUUGUUCGGAAUUACUGGGCGUAAAGAGUGUGUAGGCGGUGCUCUAAGUUUGUCGUGAAAUCUCCCGGCUUAACUGGGAGGGUGCGGCGAAAACUGGAGUGCUAGAGGGUGGGAGAGGAAAGCGGAAUUCCUGGUGUAGCGGUGAAAUGCGUAGAUAUCAGGAGGAACACCUGCGGUGUAGACAGCUUUCUGGACCACUUCUGACGCUGAUGCGCGAAAGCGUGGGGAGCAAACGGG